GGAUCUUGCAAGCGGCCCAGUCUGAGUGUCCGCAGUGCUAAUAUGCAGGCUGGGUGGCUGCAUACACCCACCCACACAGAGCCAGUCUGUUUUCCAGCCAGGGACCAAGAUGUCUUCAGAGGGCACGGAGUCCUUCCAGCGUGCAGGCAGAACGUCCCCUCUCCCUUCACACCAGACAGCGCCACCGAGAAGUGAGGCCUCCAGUAGGAACAUUACACAACCAGGCUUCUCUAGAGCAGAUGCUUUUCAUAACUAGCCACACAGCCACUUCGAACUCUCCUCUCCUGGGAUGCCUCUGAAAAACUCACAGUGGUGAGGCCGCUGGUCUGCUGAGGGCUGAUCUGCUGGGGGUUGAUCCUACCCUCAGGCCACCCCCAGCUGCUCCCCUUUUCACGACCAGCAAGCCAGACGCGGGACAGAAAUGAAAGUUCUCCAAGACCUAAUCUGAACUGAGGAUUUACCAUGAUACCGAAUAAGCCGCAGCGUCUGCUUGCAGAGCAUCCCAG